GAAUUUUUAGUUAUCCUGAGGGAAAAGGGAAUUUUAAUUAUCCUGAGGGAGAAGGAAAAUUUUACUUAUACUGAGGGAGAAGGAAAAUUUUACUUAUCCUGAGGGAAAAGGAAAGUUUUAAUUAUCCUGAGGGAGAAGGAAAUUCCUGGUUCUCCUGAGGGAGGAGGAAACUUCUGGUUACCCUGAGGGAAAAGGGAAUUUUUAUUUAUCCUGAGGGAAAAGGGAAUUUUUAUUUAUCCUGAGGGAAAAGGUAAUUUUUAAUUAUCCUGAGGGAAAAGGGAAUUUUUAAUUAUCCUGAGGGAAAAGGAAACUUUUAAUUAUCCUGAGGGAGAAGGAAAUUCCUGGUUCUCCUGAGGGAGGAGGAAACUUCUGGUUACCCUGAGGGAAAAGGGAAUUUUUAAUUAUCCUGAGGGAAAAGGGAAUUUUUAAUUAUCCUGAGGGAAAAGGGAAUUUUUAAUUAUCCUGAGGGAAAAGGAAAAUUUUAAUUAUCCUGAGGGAAAAGGAAAAUUUUAAUUAUCCUGAGGGAGAAAGAAACUUUUAAUUACCCUGAGGGAGAAGGAAAAUUUUACUUAUCCUAGGGGAGAAGGAAACUUUUAAUUAUCCUGAGGGAGUAGGAAACUUCUGGUUACCCUGAGGGAAAAGGGAAUUUCUAUUUAUCCUGAGGGAAAAGGGAAUUUUUAGUUAUCCUGAGAGAAAAGGGAAUUUUUACUUGUCCUGAGGGAAAAGGAAAAUUUUAAUUAUCCUGAGGGAGAAAGAAACUUUUAAUUACCCUGAGUGAGAAGGAGAUUCCCGCUCAUCCUGAGGGAGACGCCAUUUUGUGGACUUCCUUGGGAGAAAGGAACUCCCCGUUUUCCAGGAGAUUCCUGGAGGCAGAGGCUAAAUCCUGCUUUCCCUGAGGGAAAACCUCAUUCCCGCUCAUCCCAACCCCCAGAACAUCCCUCCCUUUCCCCCUCUAAUCCCGAUUUUCCCCCUCUUUUCCCCCAGCGCCGGCUCCAUGGCGGAGCGGCAGAGGCCGCGGCGGCUCCUGCGGCUGGUGCAGGAGGGGAGGCUGCAUCUCCUGAGGGACGAGCUGCAUCCAGAGGACAUUCCAGAGGCAAGGAGCCGGCGCUGGGGCCGCCUGGGGGACACCCUGCUGCACCACGCGGCGCGGCUGGGACACAGGGACGUGCUGGAAUUCCUGGUGCGGGAGCUCGGCAUGGACGUGGAGGUGGCCAACGGGGACUACAAGAGGCCCAUCCAUGAGGCGGCUUCCAUGGGGCACGGGGAGUGCGUGUCCUUCCUCCUGGAGUGGGGGGCCAGCGUGGACUGCCUGAAGAAGGGCGACUGGACUCCCCUCAUGAUGGCCUGCACCAGGAAAAACCUGGAGGUGAUCCGAUCCCUGGUGGAGCACGGAGCCAACCCGCUGCUGAGGAAUAAGGAUGGCUGGAAUUGCUUCCACAUUGCCAGCAGGGAGGGGCAUCCCGAGGUGCUCCGGUACCUCCUGGAUGUGUCCCCAGGGAUCUGGGACACCGAGAGCACCACCAGGAGGACACCCCUGCACACAGCAGCCAUGCACGGCUGUUCCCAGGUCGUGGAGCUGCUCCUGGAGCGGUGCCACUACAGUCCUGACAGCAGGGACAAGUGUGGAGUCACUCCCUUCAUGGAUGCAAUCCAGAACGGGCACCUCGACAUCGCCCGGAUGCUCCUGGAAAAACACCAGGCCUGUCCCACAGCCAUGGAUGCCCUGGGAGCUCAGGCCCUGCACAGGGCAGCUGUGACAGCCCAGGAUGGAUCCAUCCAGUUCCUGGUGGCCGAGCUGGGGGUGGAUGUCAAUGGAAGAGCCACUUCCCUGCGGAUCCCGGCCCUGCACUACGCGGCCAAGGAAGGACACGGACACACCAUCCUGACGCUGCUGUCCCUCGGCGCCGAUCUCCAGGCUCAGGACGGGAAGAGCCGUUCCGGUAAGGAAGGAGCUGCUCCUUCCCCCUCUGCCUGACCCCCAGAGCUUCCAUAAGUGCAUCCCAACCUCCAGGUCACCCUGGAGCACGCAGGGAGAUCCCAAAUCCAUGGAUACCAAAGGCUCUGGGAGCAGCGUGACGUGAAAACAGGGGUUUUGGUUUGUUUUUUCCCCGGUUUUCAUUCACUAAUUUUCUCCUUGCUGGAAUUUCUGGUGCUUCUGGCUCGAGGGCUUUUCCCUUGGGGAAGAGCAGAGAUGUUCCCUGGGGGAAGAACAGAGAUGCAAACCAGGGCUUUCUCUUUAUCCACCUCCUUAAUUUUUUCCACGAGACUUUUCCGGAGCUUCGAUUCUCCGCCUCGCCGGAAUUUGGCUGGAACGAGCCCUCCUGCAGCGGGUUGGGUGGGUGAAUCCAGGGACUUCCACGAGCUCCCCAGCCUCGAUUUCCCAGCAAACAGCCCAGAAAUGGGCUCAUGAGCAAAUAAUAACACAGGGCUGGGACGUAAAUAGAGUUGCCAUAGCGAUGCCGGAGUCGGCAUUCCCGGCGGGAGAGGCUCCGGCAGCUCCUGCAGCAGCAUCUCUGUCUCGGGAACAAAACCCACAGAAAGGGUUCCAGCCAAAAUUGGCAGCUUUUAACCAGUCCUCAGGUUUGGUUAAAAACACCUGGGGACAUCUCUCCAUCCGUCCCCUCCGGGAGGGAAUCCCGGCUCUGCGGAGCUCAUCCAGCCCAGGGAGGUUUUCCAUGGCUCCUCCUGCCUGUUGGAUGCUGUGUCAGUGUCCCUGUGUCCUUGGGAAGCUCCUCAUCCCGAUUUGGCACCUGCAUGGAUUAUCCAUGGGGAUCAGGAUGCACAUUAGAUCAGAUAGAAGGAAGAAAUCAUUUGCAAUGAGGGAGGUGAGACACAAGUUUCCUGGAGAGGAAUAUCCAGGGAAUCCCU